UAGUCUGGUGCCAGCAGCCGCGGUAAUACGGAGGAUGCAAGCGUUAUCCGGAAUCAUUGGGCGUAAAGCGUCCGCAGGUGGUUUCCAAAGUCUGCUGUUAAAGACUGGAGCUCAACUCCGGAACGGCGGUGGAAACUUGGAAACUAGAGUUCGGUAGGGGUAGCAGGAAUUCCCAGUGUAGCGGUGAAAUGCGUAGAUAUUGGGAAGAACAUCGGUGGCGAAGGCGUGCUACUGGACCGUAACUGACACUCAGGGACGAAAGCUAGGGGAGCGAAAGGGAUUAGAUACCCCUGUAGUCCUAGCUGUAAACGAUGGAAACUAGGUGUGGCUUGUAUCGACCCGAGCCGUGCCGUAGCUAACGCGUUAAGUUUCCCGCCUGGGGAGUACGCACGCAAGUGUGAAACUCAAAGGAAUUGACGGGGGCCCGCACAAGCGGUGGAGUAUGUGGUUUAAUUCGAUGCAACGCGAAGAACCUUACCAGGGCUUGACAUGUCGCGAAUCUNGGNGAAAGCUGAGAGUGCCUUCGGGAGCGCGAACGCAG
rnacentral:rRNA from 1 species